UCCAACUCUUUUCAAGUCAAAAGACUUUUGCAGCACAAAGGCCAAGCCAGCGUCAUGAGUCUCCCUCUUCCCCACUUCCGCCAUCGAUCACUUUGACCGGCUCGGAUUGAAAUAUAGAAGAAGAAUAGAGAAACGAUUCUGUGCACCGCACUGUAGGGGACGAUGGACAGCCCAUUUUGGAGUGGGAGAUCAGUUUUUCCUCUCGUGUUCUGGUUUUCCAAGAAAGACCGCUCGAUUGCACUCUCAAAAUCAGCAGAACUUGGGGCAUAUCAAUUUGGGGUGCGCGAAUCGGAGGGCACCGGCAUUUUGAAUAGUUCUUCCCUUUCAGCAUCAAAUUAAGUCCGUGAAAUAGGUUGAUCUCCAGGUUCGACGAGGUGCUCGUCGGUCUCGAUUCACCUCAUCCGUUGCACCCACACCUGCAACUAUACCGCUCCGAUCGCCGCGACGUCAGCCUUCCGAGUGGCGAUCCCUCAGAAUUUCGCUCUGGGUUCGAUGCGGCGCUCGUUGGUCUCAAAUUAGUCAAGCCACACUCGAAUCUGAACAUUCAUUUAUUGGAUGCGCUUGGUAUAGUCAUGUUAAUGGUUGGAUCUAAUCAGAAUUUUUGCCACACAUUUACUGAAGAGAUACCUGGGACAAAAUCUAAUUGUUAGAAGAUGAUUAAAAAAAUAAUUGGUUAUGAACCUACUCAUGGAUACGCUAUGAUUGGUCGAGCCUGAAUGCAGUCUGUAUGGAUUCUAGUACCCGCUAAAAAAUUAAUUUAUGGCCAACACACUAUCGUUUCGUUCGCUGUUGGACAACAAUAAGCUUACCGAAUCUAAUUUCAAUAGCUGGUAUCGAAAGUUGAAGACAUCCUGAAGCAUGAGAGGAUCUUGUAUAUGAUUAUGUAUAUGAUUAUGGAUCUACUACCUGAAGAAUUUGUUGCCAAUGCACCCCGUGCUGUGAGAGACACUUAUUUGAAGUGGUUCAAUGACCGCACGAUGGUGCGUUGCAUCGUGAGGGUAGCAAUAAAUGAUGAAUUUAGCCGUAAGUUCGAGGAUGCACAACCAGAAGAUAUGAUUCAAAUGUUGAAUGAGUUCUUCGGCGUCUCUGAAGAUGCAGAAAGAAAUAAAACCUUUCGUGCUGUAUUCAAAGUCCGUAUGCGAGAGAGGACGUCAGUUACUGAUCAUGUAUUAUACAUAA